rnacentral:rRNA from 1 species
UACGGAGGAUGCGAGCGUUAUCCGGAUUUAUUGGGUUUAAAGGGUGCGUAGGCGGACGCUUAAGUCAGCGGUAAAAUUGCGGGGCUCAACCUCGUCGAGCCGUUGAAACUGGGUGCCUUGAGUGGGCGAGAAGUACGCGGAAUGCGUGGUGUAGCGGUGAAAUGCAUAGAUAUCACGCAGAACUCCGAUUGCGAAGGCAGCAUGCCGGCUUCCGACUGACGCUGAAGCACGAAAGCGUGGGGAUCGAACAGG